rnacentral:miRNA from 1 species
AGUGUGUGUGUGUGUGUGUGUGCGCGCACACACACACACAAACACACACG